GCAGUGGUGGUUCAGUGGUAGAAUUCUUGCCUCCUAUGCUGGAGACCCGGGUUUGAUUCCUGGCCAAUACA
rnacentral:tRNA from 1 species